rnacentral:rRNA from 3 species
CUGACCUCAAAUCAGGUAGGA